CGCGCUCUUUUUCUCUCUCUUAAAAAUAACGAAAAACAUCAAAAAAAUUUUUUUGACAAAGAAACUGAAUGGGACUGAAUGAGGAAAAGCAAGGGAAGCUCUGUUGGAGAUUCUUGCAGGGAUCCCCUCACGGGUGCGCACCCGGUUCUCUGCCCCGAGCAGAGAGCACAACAGCCUUCUCGGAGCUUAUUUUCUGGUUAGGGGGUCAGCGAUCGGCGCAUCAGGUGAUUUUAGGAAAUGGCAUUGCUAAGGAGAAAACACGCCAGUCGUGGGAUAGAAAGUGACCCAGGGGCAGCCUGACCUCUUGGAAAAGGUGCCCAUCGAGCUGAGGCCCGAGUGAGGACGAGAAGGCAAGCGUGGGAAGAUCCAAGGAGGGAGAAUGGCCCAUGCAAAGCCGUCGUCUCUGGGACAGGAACAAGCUUGCCGUUUGAGGAAGAGAAAAGCCAGCAGGGUUAGAGCAUAGUCAGUGAGGGGAAGAGGGAAGGAGAUAAGAUCUGAGAGGAGGCCGUGUGGUCUGCACUUGAAGCUACUGCACUGUGUUUGGCUGAAGAAUAGGUCACGGCAUGAUUCCACUUCCCAAGGAGCAGAGCCACAACAAAGCAGAAAUCACAGCGUCGUUGUGAUGAUAACUGCGAGGGCCAGGUGCUCACAGGCACGUGGCUGGGAUGGGGUCACUGGGACAGCUCCCUGGAACCUGCUACUGAGUUCUCACAUUCAACAGGAGACAUUCAUCCGGGGGUCCCUGCCUACGCCAGACAACCUCAGGAAGGCUUGUCCGCCGCUCCCCCAGGGAACUUGCACUCCCGGGGGAGCUGCACAGGACAGCCUGCCCUAUGAUGGUGCCGUUGGGGAUCAAAGGUACAGGAUGAUGUUUGGUGAACAACAAGGGGCCUUACAAACUGAAAUGAAGAAGAAUGACCCAACUAGGAGAUGGGCUGAAUAGUGGAGGAAGGAAGAGAAUCCCAAGCUCUGCAACCUGCAUUCAUGGUACUUCCCCCCCAUCUGUAUCUACUCAUGGAGGUCGCCAAAAUUCUUUCCUUGCAUUUGACUUUUCAACGUAUUGUUUCCCUCUUGGAUCUCAUUCAGAAAUUGUUAUAUUAUUGGGCUUACGUUCUAGAACGUGCAGAAACAGCAAAGGAACAGAGUCGCUUUAGAUCACACGACAGCCAGUUCCAUUUCUAAAAAACACGUUCUAAAACGCGAUCAACUCUCGCAAAGUCCCACCUGAAUUCACUGGGGAAAGAAGGCAAGAAAAUAGUCUUCAAACUACAGAAUGUAUUUUUAAGGAAACGCAGCUUUAUUACUUUCAAGUACAAACAAUAACUUGGACUUGACUAACCAAAUGUUGCCUAAUUGAGAGAACCUGCCUUAAUGUAUAGACAUCAAUGAUUUAUAGUUAGCACAAUCACUCACAGUAGAAUGCUUCCAUACGAUGCGUGAAAGUAACUUCUCAUCUUAUAAAGACAUCUUGUCCCACAUUCUCUCCACUAUCUGCUCACGCAGUCCCUUUCUCCUCCCACCCCACAGACACUUCAGAUGCAAACUUCACCUCCUUCCCCCUAGAUCACAAUAGACAUCAAAUUAGGGAAACAUGAGAAGAUACAUUUUGACCACGUUGCUACAGACGUCGGAUUGGUGACACCAGCCUUUUUCAACCUGAGCGCUCUCGUCGAGAGUACGAAGUCUAAAUUAGUCGAAAUGCGUCUGUUCACAAUGUGAGUAGAGGGACACAGGGUAAUUGUGAGCUUUUGUCAUCUGCGUUAAUAGUUUUCCAGGUUGUAAUAUGCAAAAACAUUUUUCUCUGAGCACAUUCAUGAAGCGCAGACGUAGCUGGGUUCUCUAGGCGGCGACGACAGCACGGGGUUACGACUCGUCGGGACCGUAAUACUAACUGGAAGCGACCGAAGUCCCCUGUCGUAGGAAGACCGGAGA